AGCAGCCGCGGUAAUUCCAGCUCCAAUAGCGUAUAUUAAAGUUGUUGCAGUUAAAAAGCUCGUAGUUGAAUUUUGGGUCUGGCCGGGCGGUCCGUCCUCUGGAUGAGUACUGUUCCGAUGUCGGGCCUAUCCUUCUGGUGAGUCGGCAUGCCCUUUAUUGGGUGCGUCGGGGAACCAGGACCAUUACCUUAGAAAAAUUAGAGUGUUCAAAGCAGGCUUUUGCUCGAAUACAUUAGCAUGGAAUAAUGAAAUAGGACGCGUGGUGCUAUUUUGUUGGUUUCUAGAACCGCCGUAAUGAUUAAUAGGGAUAGUUGGGGGCAUUAGUAUUCAAUUGUCAGAGGUGAAAUUCUUGGAUUUAUUGAAGACUAACUUCUGCGAAAGCAAUUUGCCAAGGAUGUUUUCAUUAAUCAAGAACGAAAGUUAGGGGAUCGAAGACGAUCAGAUACCGUCGUAGUCUUAACCAUAAACUAUGCCGACUAGGAAUCGGGCAUGUUAUUCUCACGACUCGCCCGGCGCCCGU
rnacentral:rRNA from 1 species